UACGUAGGGGGCAAGCGUUGUCCGGAAUCAUUGGGCGUAAAGAGCGUGUGAGGCCGGCCAGGUACGUCCGCUGAUGAAGUCCAGGGCUCAACCCCUGGAAUGCCGGUGGAAACUGUCGGGCUAGAGUCCGGAAGAGGCGAGUGGAAAUUCCUGGUGUAGCGGUGAAAUGCGCAGAUAUCAGGAGGAACACCAAUGGCGAAGGCAGCUCGCUGGGACGGUACUGACGCUGAGACGCGAAAGCGUGGGGAGCAAACAGG
rnacentral:rRNA from 1 species